UCUCACUUGCCUCGGUAUAUACAUAUCAAAACGAAAGGAAAAAAUCAAUGAACUAUGUCACUUGCCCAGCUAAUAGAUAUCAUUAUAAAAGUAUGUCCAGAUGAAAGGAAAAAAACUAACAGACUAUGUCGCUUGCCCGGCUAAUAUAUCUCAUUAUAAGCAUGUCCAAACGAAAGAAAAAAUAACCAACAAACUAUAUCGCUUGCCCAGCUAACAGAUCUCAUUAUAAACAUGUCCAAAGAAAAGAACAAGAAAACCAACAAACUAUGUCGCUUGCCAGGCUAACAGAUCUCGAUAUAACACAUGUAAAAAACCGAAUGAAGAGAAAGAACCAACGAACUAUGUUGCUUGCCUGGCUAAUACAUCUCACUAAACAUGUUCAAACGAAAGAGAAAAUAACCAACAAACUAUGUUGCUUGCCCAGCUACCAGAUCUCAUUAUAAAAGUAUCUUCGAUCGCCAAGGUCCAGCUCUUCUCCAUCAACUCGUCGCCUUGAUCUAUGAUCGACAAUUGCAUCCUUGAUCUCUCUAUGCCCUUGUCCCUGAAAACAUCUUCUUAGAUUCUUUAUGCUUCUUCCUGGACGUCAUCCCCACCUUGAUUGGUCAUAACUGAAGACCUGCCCACUAUCGUAGGGAGAAAACAAUUAACACAUGAGAUAGUUUAUCUCUGAUCUCCUGCUUAUAUAAAACAUAAGAUGUUGUUGUUUGCUUGUCCUUCGUCCAUCUUCUUUAUUGUGUUUCUACUCACUCUUUCCCUUUUGAUUUCCACCCUUCAAUCUCUUCCUUUUUCCUAUCAUUUUUCUUAACAAAAAACCUCAACGGUGCCACCUCUUAACAUGUCAAAAUGAAGGAGGAAAAAAACCAAUGAUAUCGCUUGUCCGGCUAACAGAUCUCAUUAUAAACAUGUCCAAAGAAAAGAACAAGAAAACCAACAAACUAUGUUGCUUGUCAGGCUAACAGAUUUCGAUAUAAACAUGUAAAAAAAUGAAUGAAGAAAAAGAACCAACGAACUAUGUUGCUUGCAUGGCUAAUAGAUCUCAUUAAACAUGUUGAAACGAAAGAACAAAUAGCCAACAAACUAUGUUUCUUGACCAGCUACCAGAUCUCAUUAUAAAAGUAUCUUCGAUCGCCAAGGUCCAGCUCUUCUCCAUCAACUCGUAGCCUUGGUCUAUGAUCGACAAUUGCAUCCUUGCUCCCUCUGUGCCCUUGUCCCUGAAAACAUCUUCUUGGAUUCUUUAAGCUUCUCCCUGUACGUCAUCCCCACCUUGAUUGGUCAUAACUGAAGACCUGCCCAAUAUCGUAGGGAGAAAACAAUUAACACAUGAGAUAGUUUCUCUCCGAUCUCCUGCUUAUAUAAAACAUAAGAUGUUGUUGUUUGCUUGUCCUUCAUCCAUCUUCUUUAUUGUGUUUCUGCUCACUCUUUCCCUUUUGAUUUCCACCCUUCAAUCUCUGCCUUUUUUCCAUCAUUUUUUCUUAAAAAACGCCUCAACGGUGCCACCUCUUAACAUGUCAAAAUGAAGGAGGAAAUAAACCAACGAACUAUAUCGCUUGCCCGGCUAACAGAUCUCAUUAUAAACAUGUCCAAAGAAAAGAACAAGAAAACCAACAAACUAUGUCGCUUGCCAGGCUAACAGAUUUCGAUAUAAACAUGUAAAAACCGAAUUAAUAAAAAGAACCAACGAACUAUGUUGCUUGCGUGGCUAAUAGAUCUCCUUAAACAUCUUCAAAUGAAAUAACAAAUAACCAACAAACUAUGUUGCUUGACCAGCUACCAUCUCAUUAUAAAAGUAUCUUUGAUCGCCAAGGUCCAGCUCUUCUCCAUCAACUCGCCGCCUUGGUCUAUGAUCGACAAUUGCAUCCUUGAUCUCUCCAUGCCCUUGUCCCUGAAAAUAACUUCUUGGAUUCUUUAAGCUUCUCCCUGGACGUCAUCCCCACCUUGAUUGGUCAUAACUGAAGACCUGCCCAAUAUCGUAGGGAGAAAACAAUUAACACAUGAGAUAGUUUCUCUCCGAUCUCCUGCUUAUAUAAAACAUAAGAUGUCGGUGUUUGCUUGUCCUUCGUCCAUCUUCUUUAUUGUGUUUCUGCUCACUCUUUCCCUUUUGAUUUCCACCCUUCAAUCUCUGCCUUUUUUCCAUCAUUUUUUCUUAAAAAACGCCUCAACGGUGC
rnacentral:lncRNA from 1 species